rnacentral:rRNA from 1 species
AUUGAACGCUGGCGGCAGGCCUAACACAUGCAAGUCGAGCGGUAACAGGAAAUAGCUUGCUAUUUUGCUGACGAGCGGCGGACGGGUGAGUAACGCGUAGGAAUUUGCCCAGUAGUGGGGGAUAGCCCGGAGAAAUUCGGAUUAAUACCGCAUACGCCCUAAGGGGGAAAGCAGGGGAUCUUCGGACCUUGCGCUAUUGGAUAAGCCUGCGUGAGAUUAGCUAGUUGGUGAGGUAAGGGCUCACCAAGGCGACGAUCUCUAGCUGGUCUGAGAGGAUGAUCAGCCACACUGGAACUGAGACACGGUCCAGACUCCUACGGGAGGCAGCAGUGGGGAAUAUUGCACAAUGGGCGAAAGCCUGAUGCAGCCAUGCCGCGUGUGUGAAGAAGGCUCUAGGGUUGUAAAAGCACUUUCAGUAGGGAGGAAAAGUACGAUAGUUAAUACCUAAUCGGCCGUGACGUUACCUACAGAAGAAGCACCGGCGUAAACUCCGUCG